rnacentral:tmRNA from 1 species
GGGGGUGUACCGGCUUCGACUGGUACGGUUCGGCUUGUGGGCAGCAGGUGGAGCGGGUACGGCUCCUAACAUUUGUGCCAAACUUAUAAUUGCCAAACAUACUAGCAAUUACGGUUACGAAUACGCUUUAGCGGCGUAACCGCGCGGGACCGUUCCACCGCCUUGAGGGAUGGUUUCCGUGACGCAACCAAGGCUGGUUAUGCGGCGUUUUUCGCGCACUGCAUAAUAAGACUUAGCGGAAUAAGGGAUGGACGCAUGCCGCGAAGCAAAGCCAUUCACAAAAACCAGAUGCGCGGCUAAACCUGUAGACGCUUACCGGUUGCGUACUAGGACGCGAGUUCAACUCUCGCCACCUCCAAAU